rnacentral:rRNA from 1 species
AUUGAACGCUGGCGGCAGGCCUAACACAUGCAAGUCGAGCGGGGUUUUCGGACCUAGCGGCGGACGGGUGAGUAAUGCGUAGGAAGCUGCCCGAUAGAGGGGGAUACCAGUUGGAAACGACUGUUAAUACCGCAUAAUGUCUACGGACCAAAGUGUGGGACCUUCGGGCCACAUGCUAUCGGAUGCGCCUACGUGGGAUUAGCUAGUUGGUGAGGUAAUGGCUCACCAAGGCGACGAUCUCUAGCUGGGUUGAGAGGAUGACCAGCCACACUGGAACGGAGACCCGGUCCAGACUCAUACGGGAGGCAGCAGUGGGGAAUAUUGGACAAUGGGCGCAAGCCUGAUCCAGCCAUGCCGCGUGUGUGAAGAAGGCCUUCGGGUUGUAAAGCACUUUCAGCGAGGAGGAAGGGGUGUGUGUUAAUAGUACACACCUUUGACGUUACUCGCAGAAGAAGCACCGGCUAACUCUGUGCCAGCCGCCGCGGUAAUAC